UUCUGAGUGUUCUCUGUGUGUGUUUAAAAAAAAAAAACAAAUUAUACAGUAAUGAUUACAGAUGAAGCGUAAAGACAGAGURUGUCCUCUGAGGAUGUCUGUUCUCCCUUUAGCAUAAGCCAAAUCAACCACUGCUGAAGGCUCCUGAAAGAAGUGGACCUUUUAUCUUACUGGAUAGGGGCAUUCAUACUUUACUAUGUAGUCAAAGUCUCCAAAAAGAGCUCAAAGAAACAAAACCUCUUGGAGAUCCUWGCACAGACAGUAAACCUAAUAAUCUGCAAUAACAAACCCCACCUCCAAACACCACCAAAGAAAAUCCAACUAAACACCAAAACCCAAAAAAAAUCUCCACAUAAAAUUGCUACAUGAUUAUGAAAGUAGAGUACUGCACAUUUUUUCAAAGGCAUUUCUCAAAAAUUAAAAAAAAAAAAUCAUGCUCAAGCGCUUUCUUAUGAGGUGUCUAAAUUCCUUUCUGGUUACAGAUAGAGGUUUGGGAAAGAUCAUCAUCACAAAGCAAACAUAAAUUUGAUUUCCUCAUUGAGGUUUGUGAGUGGAUACUAGCUCAUUAUUCAUGAAUCACWAAUCAUUCAGUGUUCAGCAUCUAAUUGUCCAAAUAUUGUCUAAUUGUAUGGAUUUAUUGCAUGAAUUAUCAUCUCUUCACCCACUUUUGAAGAUGGGUGGAGUUUAAUUAUAGUUAUUUUCUUUGUCUUACCACCUGUCUUCAUAUGAGAGCAAGAAAAGAACAAAGUUAGCUAAUUCAACUUUCAGCUGAGGAGUCCUCAUUGUCACAAUUCUUCAAAACAAUUAGCAAAGAAAGACUUGUUUCAAUUCAUUCCAUUUUUCUUCCAUUACCUAGCUCAAAAGGAUGUUUCAGAUACUUGACCAAAAGAUGUUUCAGAUAUUUGACCUGAAAUUUGACUUCUUUUCAAGCAGAGUUGUGUUCCAUGUCUUCAGGAACACCAAAACUUGACACCUAUCAGUUGUUUCUUACCUGCUUCCAGGUAAUGUGAGACAGACUUCAUAUACCUGUCCUGAUAUCCCAACUCAGUAAAACCAUACCUUCUUCUUGAYCUUUCUUUCUCUUCAUCUGUUGCCAUUUUAGGAGCAUUUUCUGUAUUUCAGCUUUAUCUCUCUGUCCCAGAAGGAGGCAGAGUUUACUGUUGCCCCUGCCACAGGUGGAAGYAUUGUCUCCAGUGAGUGUUCCAAGGAGGAGAGGGCAUGGAAGCAGCUGCAACAAACCCACAGGGCUCUUCAUCCUUCUGAACAGCUGCUAGAGCACUGCCUCUGGCAUCUAAUAAUACCAUAUAUACCAAGAUCCCUGCACAGGCAAGUAGGAGCUUCUGGGUGAGAUUAACUAAGUGAAAACUGGUUCCCGUGGCUAAUUUUCCACUGCUUUUCUUCAUAGGAGAGAGUUCUACUCAGAGGUCUGCCUUGCUUGUUUUGUUCUGCCCCUGUGAAAGAAUGAACUAAUUUUGUUUGGGAGAUGAAUGCAGUAUUUUGAUGGRCAGUUUGUUCAAAAKACARGAAAUCCUCCACAGCUGCUUCUGCUAACAGAAGAACAAAAAGGUUUCCUGAAUCUGCCCAACAUCUGACUGCUCUGUCUAGGAGGGAUUUGCAUGCCAAAAGCUUGUAAGCAUCUUCCAACUACAUAAAUCUGUCUAAGGAAAAGACUGMCUCUCUCCACAGAACCUGCCUGAACAGAGACCUGCACAUCUUAGUACCUCGUACUGAUUUCCUGCUAGCUCCCAACUAGCUUCUGCCAUUAAGAUGRCUUAUCUAAACUAGACAAGUGUGGCAAGCCAGACCCACAGAGACUUUCAGAAGAGUUUUGUUAUUACCAGAGUGCAGGAGAGCAGAUGCCAGCAUCAUCACUGAAACAGGCCAGUUGUCUCAAACUGCAGCCAUCAUGGUCAGCUUGUAUCCCCCAGACUCUCUUGACUUCUCUUCAAAACAAAUUUGUUCUAAAUUAUUUUCCACCAAGCAACAGUAACAGACAAUAAACAUCAGGCAGGAAAGAAAAAGACAGUUCUGGCUCAAGAGCAGUUGCUAUAAACCCAGCAUGCAUCAUUUAAGGUGAAAAUUAGAAAAGCCAUAAGCAUUAUAUAGCRGUAACAUUGAGGAAUGCCCUUCCAAGAGAAGCAAUGCAUGAAAGAAACAUGAACUGCUUAAAAAAUGAAAAUUGAGCAGACUACAAACUGGAUAAUAUCUUAACCACAUAAGGCACAAGUUGAAAUUUAAAUUACUUCAAGUCCUKUGCUUCCCCUCCAAUCCUACCUAAUGUCCACAAGACAGAUUUUCUUAAGUCAUGUUCCUGGUAUCUUACAGUCUCAACUGGAAGUAAAAGUGCCUUAAUAGUGUCAAAUUUAGUUUAUUAAGAAUGGACAGGGAAGCAAGCCUUGUAUGUAGAAAGCCUGUAAUGAUGUAGAUCUUAAAUGUGUCUUUGAAUCCCUGACUACUUAGAAGACAUAUUUUUAAUUACCCUGGAUUAUUUUCAAACAGGACUACCUCAUGGUCAWACUUGUUGUUUUCAGUGAUAGACUUUAUGCCCAAGUAUGAACAUUUAAGGGCACUGAUCAGAAGUCUUAUACCAUCAUUCCUGAAGCUUUCUAAUUCACGAAGAAUAAGUUAAGUACACUUUUCAACUGUUCAAGUAGAAAACAGUUAAAAGAGAGAUUAUUAUUUCCAUUGUGCUUCUUCAAAUAUUUGCAUGAUGCAGUUGCAGAUCUCACAUAUUUCUGAUCCUUUACCAUGAUUGCCGUUUGUAACACCUGACAAAUAUCACAAAAUUUUCGUCCACCUUCUGAAUUGGCUUCCUUGUCUAAUAAAAAUGGUUUCCUCCACUGUCAUUUCAUAUCCAACAUUAUUAUAUAUCUGAGAACAAAAGGUAGAACUGAUAGUUUUCACUGGCUGGCAGGAGGUUACUUUGCAGCAUUCAAGCAGGCACUGUGAAAUUUUGAUAUUUACUGAGAAAUUAAUUAYAGGCUGAUGCAAUAAAAUACCCAGCAUGACUAAUGAAGACAACUAGAGUACAGAUAUACCUGUACUUUCUGGAGAAUGCUGAUGGAUGUAUAACUUGAUGUAAACAUGAUUAACAACCUUGUUAAAUUAAGAUGACAAGAUGGGCUUUAACCAAACAGAUUAGAGAAAUACCUGAGAAAAGGGUGAAAGGGUAAGAUAAAGAUGUCUGUAUACAGAAAUUCUCAAAGUUACUUUUCCCAAGACAAGAUAAACUGUGUCCUAAUGGUUAACAGGGUUGGGACUGCAGAAGAAAACUGCUAGUUGUUUCCUGCUCUGUUAUCUCUUUUGAUAGCAAUACAGAAAUUUCCAAUCACACCUGUCUGGCUUCUGCUAAGUAAACCACGAUUUCUUUGCAAUGGUUUUUCAGUGAUCCCUCCAGGAGAUAAAUCAUUUCUAGAAGAGCAGCUCGAGUGGUUAAAGGAGCCAGCAUUACUCGCUUUAUUAAAGACAACUCAAAACAAAAAAAAAA